rnacentral:tRNA from 1 species
GGCUUUGUGGUCUAGUCGUAUGAUUGUCGCUUCGGGAAUUCCCCACGGGUUAAAAAUCUGUGAUCCAAUUGUGACAGGUCCCGGGUUCAAAUCCCGGCAAAGCCC